GCUGGAUUUGCUAAUGAUCACUCUAAAUAGUGUUUCUUGUAAGCAUUGGCAAUGAACAUGAGAACUCGCUUUAUUCAUUUUCUCUGAUUACAAAGAAGAUGAAAUUUCACGUAAGUGCACUGUAAGAAGCUGCCCAUGUUUCUCCUGUAUUCAGAUAGUUUCCACAAUUCCAUUCUCAUUCUUAGGGAAUCAGUUCUUCCCUUGGUAGAUGAAGGUAGUUUCUGUUUAGCGGAGGACUUGGCCCAUCUUUCCUUAAGGGAUGACAAUCUUUGUACCAUUGCCACAAGUGAAGGCUUCUAGGACAUCUCCAUGGAUGGAAUAAGCCAUUGCAGAAGGAAGGACACCUCCUCAGAGAAUGGCCUUUGAGGAAGAUCCAUGGGAAAGAGGGAAAAGCUCUGCCAAACACAAGCGAUUGCGGCUGGCUCUCUUGCUAGAGCAAGCUCUGAAUGAAUCACCUUUCCUUGUUCUCAUUUGGAUGGUCUCCGUUUAUUUCUUCCACACAAGAAAGAGAGAAGCACAACAGAGGAACCACUGCUGAGAUCUGUAGGAUAAUGCCUUCUUAUACUAACUCCCUCAUGGACUAGAUCCUGACUGGUGAAGAUCCAAGACAGGAGACGUCAACAUUCUUG
rnacentral:lncRNA from 10 species